UGUGGGAGCGGGCUUGCUCGCGAAAGCGUCGGUUCAGUCAGCUAUUCAGUGGCUGACAUACCGCUUUCGCGAGCAAGCCCGCUCCCACA
rnacentral:misc_RNA from 1 species